GAUGAACGCUAGCGGCAGGCUUAACACAUGCAAGUCGAGGGGCAGCGGGGUGUAGCAAUACAUCGCCGGCGACCGGCGCACGGGUGCGUAACACGUAUGGAAUCUGCCCUGUACUGGGGAAUAGCCCUCCGAAAGGAGGAUUAAUACCCCGUAAUAGCUUGAGUGGCAUCACUCGGGUUUGAAAGCUCCGGCGGUACAGGAUGACCAUGCGCACGAUUAGCUAGUAGGUGAGGUAACGGCUCACCUAGGCUACGAUCGUUAGGGGGCCUGAGAGGGUUAUCCCCCACACUGGUACUGAGACACGGACCAGACUCCUACGGGAGGCAGCAGUGAGGAAUAUUGCGCAAUGGGAGGAACUCUGACGCAGCCAUGCCGCGUGCAGGAAGACGGCCCUACGGGUUGUAAACUGCUUUUAUCAGGGAACGAAACCCCGGGACGUCGUCCCGGGUUGACGGUACCUGAGGAAUAAGCACCGGCUAACUCCGUGCCAGCAGCCGCGGUAAUGUG
rnacentral:rRNA from 1 species